CAUGUAAAAUACAUGUGCUUAGAUUAACACAAGUGAAGGACUUGACGCAGGACCCACAUAAGAAUUCAUAACAAGGAGCAAAGAAUUCAUCUUGAUUGUCUCUUUGAAAAAUAAGAAAGUCUCAAGUCCAGCCAGUUUGACCACUGUUAUAUAUGGUCCAUCCAACUGAUAACUUUCAACCUAUUAAGUGAAUGCAACGACCAAUCUCACCAAUAUAAGUUCAGCCCCUCUACUGAUGGGCUACACCAUAGAAAAUAUUGUGGUCUACUCUAUGAGUGAAUGGAUUUGACUGAUUUUUACAAAAGGCAAUUGUCAUGUUGGGCCCAACCCAGUGGAAGUAUUUGAUGUCUCACACACAAAAAGGGUUGGAAGUUAUCCCCUUGGGGGACCAUAACUUGUGGUUCAACCGGUCUUGAGACCU